GAAGAGAGGCUCACACAUUGGGUUGAAAGCAACUGGCCACAGCAGUGAACCCAGCCUGCAGAGUGGCAUCCAAAUGCAAGACUUCAUGCACAAUUUUUCUGAAAGUCUCUUCCUGCCCUUGCUGUCACCAUCCUCGAUCUAUAAUCAGACACUUGUUUCUGACAGUGGCAGAAUGCUGCAAUGUUGCAUUUUCCUAUAAACCACCAAGAGCAGGUGAAAAGCACAGGCAUUGAAACCGGAAGAGUUCUAUCUCCUUUUUUCCCGUUUAACCUUAAAUCAGCUACUUGUAACUACAGUGUCAUUUUCUUAGAAAUGAUACUAAAUUGAAAUCAAAUGCAAAAGUCUUUAGAAAAGUGCUUUAGGCCAAAAAAGAGGAAC